rnacentral:rRNA from 1 species
AUGCGGUGGCACGCAGAAGACCGUAAGAAAGACGGAAAGUUGAGUGUACCAGCUGACGGGUCGCAGUGGAGAAAAAUCGAAAGAAAGUACGGGAAGGAGUUUGCAGAUGACGCAAGGAGCGUAUGGUUUGGUCUAAGCGCAGAUGGCAUUAAUCCUUUUGGGGAGCAGAGCAGCAACCAUAACACCUGGCCUGUGACUCUAUGUUUGUAUAACCUUCCUCCUUGGUUGUGCAUGAAGCGGAAGUUCAUUAUGAUGCCAGUGCUCAUCCAAGGCCCUAAGCAACCCGGCAAUGACAUUGAUGUGUACCUAAGGCCAUUAGUUGAAGAAUUCUUACAACUGUGGAAUGGAACAGGUGUACGUGCGUGUGAUUAG